rnacentral:rRNA from 1 species
UACGAAGGGGGCUAGCGUUGCUCGGAAUCACUGGGCGUAAAGGGUGCGUAGGCGGGUCUUUAAGUCAGGGGUGAAAUCCUGGAGCUCAACUCCAGAACUGCCUUUGAUACUGAGGAUCUUGAGUACGGGAGAGGUGAGUGGAACUGCGAGUGUAGAGGUGAAAUUCGUAGAUAUUCGCAAGAACACCAGUGGCGAAGGCGGCUCACUGGCCCGUUACUGACGCUGAGGCACGAAAGCGUGGGGAGCAGACAGG